rnacentral:tRNA from 1 species
GGCGCUGUAUUUUAGCCUGGAAGUAAUGGGCAAUAGAAAGCCGCUCUCAUGAGGCGGAGGUCGGGUGUUCAAAUCACCCCAGCGCCA